rnacentral:lncRNA from 1 species
CAAAAUUUAGGCAUUUAUUCCAGUUCUGACAUUGAUUUCCCAGCCGUCAUGCCAACCCCAGAACACCCUCUAGUUCCUGUCUGGCCUGGCAUGGUCUGGGCAGGCGCCCCUCUUGCUCUGAACAAGGGCGUCGCUCCACUGGAACGGACUCUGGGACUCCCUGCGCACACCCGUGUCCCCACGUUUAGAGGGAGCUGCAGGAAGACGCCACUGUCCCUCUAGGGCCUGGACCAAGUUUUGUCCAAAAGUAAAAGUCCAAGGAAGGAACUGGUUCCCGACCACCCGCAGAGACGGUGCGCCUCAGCGAUCUGACCUCCCGCCCUGUUGUCACUCAGGAGCAGAGGGGCGGGUCCUUGCGAGCUUUCCAAUCAGGGGCGCAGCAGGGGCAGGUGGGUGUGGCGACGCUCCGCAGCCGCGUGGACGCUUGCGGUCCUGCUCGCGGCCAAGUCUCACCUGCGCUUAACGGUCCCAGGUGGCUCUGCUGCCGCGUCGAUCGCGCGGUGACCUGCACCGGCUGCGGGAGCCGUAGGGACGACGCCGGCGGACCGAGAAGCCGGGAAAUGGGAAAAGAACUUCAAGAUUUGAGAUGAAUGUGCUUAAGUUUUCAGAAGGGUCACGGACCUCGGAGAGAACAGGUCGCAGCCCACUGCCCAAGCAAGGUCGGCUCAAAGACGUGACCUCCGGCCUGCUGUCACUCAGGCGGGCGGGGGCGGGGCCGUGCGAACUGUCCAAUCAGGGGAGUCGCCGGAACCGUGCGUGCGGGCGACGCGCUGUGGACGGCGGGGACUGUGUGCCGUCGCUGCUGUCCGGCCGAAGCUCGCGUCCCCUCUUGCUGUCCUGAGAGCCUUCGGGAGCUUCCGCCACAUCCUCUGUGGCCGUGACGUCCGCCGGCCGCGGCAGUCGUAUGGUGGUUCGACCGGCUACCCCAGAAAGCGAGCAAUGGUGAGUGUGGGGGGCCCGGGAGUCGGGAAAGGGGGGCGGUGGGACCGGCUGGAACCGGCCGUGGCGGGACCUGGCCUCCCCGCCGUGAACUCUGGGGUCUGCGGACCCGAGGCCGCCGGUGGCGCGGCACGCAGCGCGGGGCCGGGCCGGCUGCCGGGACCGCCGGCGUCCUGUCCCGUCCCUGCGCGGCUGCGUCUCCCUUAGAUUGGGCGACGACCACGGGGAGGGUCAUCAGGGGACGGUCAUGCCUCGGUCUCCCGGGGUCGUGCGCGGGAGGUGCUGUGGUCUGUGGGGUCCCCAUCCCUCUCUCCCUGGGGUACCCGCUUUCCCCUCACUUUUCCAAACGUUUGGGGAGUAGGGUCUCAAAGCCGCGACCCUGUGCCCCCUGCCUAGCUCUUCAUAGGACUGGCAAUAAAUGCCUCAAUUUCCAGAUCUUUCCCUGCAUUCUGAAACGCCAUCUUU